rnacentral:rRNA from 1 species
UACGGAGGGUGCAAGCGUUAAUCGGAUUCAUUGGGCGUAAAGAGCACGUAGGCGGCAUGGAAAGUUAGAUGUGAAAUCCCGGGGCUCAACUCCGGACCCGCAUCUAAAACUCCCACGCUAGAGGAUGGACGGAGAAAAGGGAAUUCCACGUGUAGCGGUGAAAUGCGUAGAUAUGUGGAAGAACACCGGUGGCGAAGGCGCUUUUCUAGUUUAUUCCUGACGCUGAGGUGCGAAAGCAAGGGGAGCAAACAGG